rnacentral:rRNA from 1 species
CUCGUAGGCGGUUUGUCGCGUCGGGAGUGAAAACUCAGGGCUUAACCCUGAGCCUGCUUCCGAUACGGGCAGACUAGAGGUAUGCAGGGGAGAACGGAAUUCCUGGUGUAGCGGUGGAAUGCGCAGAUAUCAGGAGGAACACCGGUGGCGAAGGCGGUUCUCUGGGCAUUACCUGACGCUGAGGAGCGAAAGUGUGGGGAGCGAACA